rnacentral:rRNA from 1 species
GACGAACGCUGGCGGCAUGCCUAAUACAUGCAAGUCGAGCGAACAGAUGAAGUGCUUGCACUUCUGACGUUAGCGGCGAACGGGUGAGUAACACGUAAGGAAUCUACCUAUAAGCGGGGGAUAACAUUCGGAAACGGGUGCUAAUACCGCAUAAUAUCUUCUUCCGCAUGGAAGAAGAUUGAAAGGUGGGUCUGCUGUCACUUAUAGAUGACCUUGCGGUGUAUUAGUUAGUUGGUGGGGUAAUGGCCUACCAAGACGAUGAUGCAUCGCCGACCUGAGAGGGUGAUCGGCCACAUUGGGACUGAGACACGGCCCAAACUCCUACGGGAGGCAGCAGUAGGGAAUCUUCCGCAAUGGGCGAAAGUCUGACGGAGCAAUGCCGCGUGAGUGAAGAAGGCCUUCGGGUCGUAAAACUCUGUUAUAAGAGAAGAACAAAUUGUAGAGUAACUGCUACAGUCUUGACGGUAUCUUAUCAGAAAGCCACGGCUAACUACGUGCCAGCCGCCGCCGUAA